CCCUUAGAUACCCCCGGCCGCACGCGUGCUACAAUGGACACGUCAACAAGUUCCAGCUGUUCUGUGUGGUGUAUUAGUGUUCGCACUCGCCGCGUAUUUUUGGAGGAAUGGCUAAUCUUUGAACCGUGCCCAAGGUUGGGAUCGCGGAGUGCAAUUCUUCCGCGUGAACAAGGAAUGUUUCGUAGACGCGAGUCAUCAACUCGCAUCGAUUACGUCCCUGCCCUUUGUACACACCGCCCGUCGCUCCUACCGAUUGGGUGUGCUGGUGAAAUGUUCGGAUCGGCCGUUUGUCGCGGUUUCCGCGGCUCGUGGCUGAGAAGUUCAUUAAACCCUCCCACCUAGAGGAAGGUGAAGUCGUAACA
rnacentral:rRNA from 1 species